AGCCUGAACGCUGGCGGCGUGGCUAAGACAUGCGAGUCGUACGGUGUAGCAAUACACAGUGGCGAACGGGUGAGUAAUGAAUCGCUAACGUGCCCCGGACUCAGGGAUAGCUAUCCGAAAGGGUAGGUAAUACCUGAUGACAUAACCUUGUCGCAUGGCAGGGUUCUCAAAGGUCCGCCGGUCUGGGAGCGGGCAGUUCGAAGCAGCUAGUGUGAGUAACGGCUCACAAGGCGACGACGCGUAGCCGGAUGAGAGUGCGGCACAUGGACUGAGACACUGCCCAGACUCCUACGGGGGCG
rnacentral:rRNA from 1 species